GGCGGAAUGGCAGAGUGGUUAUGCAGCGGUUCUGCAAAGCCGUGUACGCCGGUUCGAUUCCGACUUCCGCCUCCA
rnacentral:tRNA from 1 species